rnacentral:misc_RNA from 1 species
GAUGAAGAACGUAGCGAAAUGCGAUAAGUAAUGCGAAUUGCAGAAUUCAGUGAGUCAUCGAAUCUUUGAACGCACAUUGCGCCCUGUGGUAUUCCGCAGGGCAUGCCUGUUCGAGCGUCAUUUCAACCCUCAAGCUCUGCUUGGUGUUGUGCCCUGCCCGCUGCGGCCGGCCCUAAAGACAGUGGCGGUGCCGCCUGGCCCUGAGCGUAGUACAUCUCUCGCUCCAGUGCCCGGUGGUAGCCUGCCAGAACCCCAACUCUCGUGGUUGACCUCGGAUCAGGUAGGGAUACCCGCUGAACUUAAGCAUAUCAAUAAGCGGAGGA